UACGUAGGGGGCUAGCGUUGUCCGGAAUCACUGGGCGUAAAGCGCACGUAGGCGGCUUUCUAAGUCAGGGGUGAAAUCCUGGAGCUCAACUCCAGAACUGCCUUUGAUACUGGAGAGCUUGAGUCCGGAAGAGGUGAGUGGAACUCCGAGUGUAGAGGUGAAAUUCGUAGAUAUUCGGAAGAACACCAGUGGCGAAGGCGGCUCACUGGUCCGGUACUGACGCUGAGGUGCGAAAGCGUGGGGAGCAAACAGG
rnacentral:rRNA from 1 species